AACAAUAAAAACGUAACCUGUGAGUUCUUAUUCUUUGAAUUUUUUAUAGAUUUCUUUUACAAAUUUCUUUUAUCCGUCAAAAAACUUUUAUUAUUAAUCUUACUAAUGAUGGUUGUUUGGUAAUUAAACUAUGUAUAUUUAUUAACUAAAAACAGAAUAUGGAUGUUAAUUACAAGAAAAAAUAUUACACUGACGUGAAAAAUGUAAAACAAUGGUUCUAUUCUACGAAAGAAAGAUGUGAUUCGUUAAAAUCUCAUAUGAAAUAUAUGAAAAUGUUAUAUCAUGAUAUGCCAAAAAUACAAGAAACUAAAAAGACUUUGUGUGAUCCAAAUUGGCAAAAUUGUAAAAUAAAGACUUCUAGUAAUGAUGAAACUAUAGUUUCCAGACAAGUGAAUUGUAAUAAUUCCUUGGAAAAGUAUUCUGAUAAUCUAUAUGAUAAGAUCCACAAAGAUAAGCCUUUCACAACUCCAAAUUUAGCCAAUAUUUUAUCAGAAAAUAAUCUGCAGAAGAAAGAAGAAGAAAAAGAAAAACAAAAGAACUUAAAUAAACAGAAAGGAACAGAAACUGAAUUAUCUUCGAUUACACUUCAAACUUAUGCUAUUUCACAGAACACAGAAUCAAGAUCGUUACUACCAACUCAGAAAGAUAACAUGGCACAGUGUGAAGAACACAAUUACAAUUGGCAAUUCCCAUAUCAAAAGCAUCUAACAGAAUAUUCUACAGAAUUAAUAGGAAAUAAUGAAACUUUAACCAAAUCUUUUGAACAAUUAAAUCUGGAUAAUCAAAAUAGCUAUUUACUUCAAGAAUCAUUUUCUGCAAAAGAUGAUAUUAAACUAAAUAUUUCUGGUAAUGUUAAAGAUGGAUCCGUGGAUAAAAGUAAAGUCUCUACAAAAAACGAAAAAAAAGAAAAAGCUAUUUCUUCAGCAUUAUCAAGCAAGAAAGGCUCCUUAUGUAAGCUAGAUGACAUUGUUCCAUUGAAGAUUAAAAGACGAAGAAAAAAAAUACACUGUUCUAAUUCACGGAGUACUGUAACUACAAGAGAUACAAUUUUUUUAGGAAAAAAGGAUACAAAAAAACGAAAACAAAAAAAUAGUGUAAGUAAUCGUCAUACAUUCAAGUCUCACCAAACAUCUAAUGAUGUAGUGGAAAUUUAUCAUAAUGCAGCAGCAAAGAGUGGUAGCACAUCUGCUAUUCCUAGUAAACAUUCAAAACUUGAACAUCACAUGAACUAUAUUAACAUAUUAACAUCUUCAGCUAUGAAUAAACAACAAAACAUAUCCAUAAAACCAAAAUAUGAAGAUAAUAAUUAUCAAAAUGUUAGUGAUGUUAAUGUAGAUUGUCCCAAAAAUUAUUCUCAAAAGCAACAUCAAACUGAUCAGAAAACAGUAGAAAGGAUUACAAUUAAUAAUGAUCUAAGUAAUAAUUUGAAAAUUUCAACCAGUCCUGCAUGUACCAUGGAAAAGUACAAUUCGCAUCAGUGUCAACAUGCAAUUAUACAAGCAUCAUAUUGCGACCCAAUAGUUACUCAUAAUUAUGAAAUGCCAACUUUAGCUUCUAAAUUAAAGAGAGCCAAUCGUUCAUAUUUCGGUAGAUUUAACUUUCAAAAUAUACCCUUUGUAGUGGGUACUUCUGUAACCCCAAGUCAUAAUUUAGGUUUAAAUAUACAGCAAGUUUUGAGCAUUAUGAAAACAAGGCAAAUUGCUGCAACAGGAGUGACACCUCUUCUUAUUCGUAAGAUUAGCAGAGGUAUGAAGCCUGCAUCUGUUCUUGUAGAACAGAUAAACAAUCAACAGAGUAAACUGUCUCAUAUAAAUUCCCAAAUGAAUAAUAUACAUAUACAGAAAGAAAAUUUGUUUAUGAGUAAAGGUGAUCAUUUAUUAGAAAAUGAAAAUAUGUUUUUAAAAUAUGAUAGGAAAGGAGUAAGUAAUUUAAAUGUAAAUUUGAAAUCAAAUAUUGAGCAAUAUCAGAAUUUACAAAAAGGAAUUAAUGGCAGUGUAAAUAAAUAUGGGAAUUUUCAUAAGAAAAAGGAUACUAGAUCAGAGAAUCAAUUGAAUACACUGAAUACAAUACUACAUGUAACAGACAAUAAAAUGUUGAAAUUAUUUGCUUCCCAACAAAAUGUAAACACAAAGAUGGAAAACCCAGAAAUGCAAUCCAAAAUAUAUCAGAACACAUUACAGGGCAAUAUUUGUGAUAAACACAUUUCUAAUACCUCAACAGUUAAUCAUUCUCAAGAUUCUAAAGGAAUAAGGGAAGUUCUCAUUAACCUUCAUGAUCAGUUCGAGGAAAUGAACACAAAAUAUGAAAAAUUACAAGCAAAAGCAAAAAAAUACAGUGAUAAAGAUUUAGAAGAAGAAAUACUACAUUUAGAAAAAGAAUUAAGCAUUAAAGAAGAUGAGAUAAAUGCUGUUGUUAACUUGUAUAAAGAGGUGAUGUCAUUAAAACAUCAAAUGAAAUUAUUACAAAAAAAGAACAGUUACGUUUGUAUAUCAACUGAAAUUCCACUGGGAUCAGAUAAAUUGUAUGCAGCUAUGCCAUUUACAUCAACUAAAUCUAAUGGAUCAAAUGGAUCAAAUUUUCAGCAGAGACUUUUUCACAAAAGGGGAAAUAGUGCUGUCACAAGGGAACCUAUUUCUCUUCGUCUAGCUGGUCUCUUACGGCAAAUUCAAACAUUUCAGAAGCAAUUGAAACUAACAUCAUGGUAACAACACAAUGUGGAUCAUAUUUAUCACAUUCGACUUGUCUGGCAGCACCCAAUGCAUCGUUGGGAAAUUGAAAAGUUACAUACUUGAGUGAGUCGAGUCGUUCUUUCAACAAGAGAAAAAAGGUACGGAGGACUGUGAUCGAUCAGCGUUAGAGAGAAAUGCCUUUGAGAACGCCAACCACGAGGUACAGAAAAACACAUUCAAGGUACAUCGACGUUUAUAAUCGUCCCAAAUGAUAUUUUAUAUUGUAUGCACAUAUCCUAGUGACGAACGAAUAAAGAUAAACAAAAUAAAAAGUGAGAACAGGCUAACAAUUAAAUUAAAAAGAGAAAACAUUUUUACUAGAAUCCUAAUGUAAGGAACUGCUUCUUCUUAAGCUAUGUAUUUUAAAUCAGGGUGAACUGUUUUAUCGAUUAAUCGUAAGUAACAAAUUGUCGGCAUAUCCGUUAAAAGGGAUCGAUUAAAAAACUUCCAGUAAUGCAAUUAUUUAGCAGCGAAGUACGUAAGAAAUACAUUCUCGUGUCCUCAGAAAUAACUAAUAUCUUUCAUAGUACAUGUUUACCAUGAAGGCAAAGAAAAGUUGCACUUUUAUGGAUGCUUUUUUAGCAGAUUUUAAUAAAACCGCGAGAUCUUGUAUCGCGCUGACAUUACAUAACAACACAUCGUGUAUUCCUAUUUUCAGACUUCUUUCUUAAAUCGAAUUACCUCUUACGUUAAUAUCAUGCAUGAUUAAGUUGUAUAAUUUGUCACAUUAAAUGGAUCAACUUCUUA